CAAUAGCGUAUAUUAAAGUUGUUGCAGUUAAAAAGCUCGUAGUUGGAUUUCUGUGAGAGUGCCGGUGUCGGCUGAUGCUUGUACGCAGGCGCUCUUACAUCCUUCUGUUAACUGAUCUUGGCAUUUUAUUGCUGGUUCAGGGCUCAGAUAUUUUACCUUGAGAAAAUUAGAGUGUUUCAGGCAGGCUUAUGCCGGAAUACAUUAGCAUGGAAUAAUGGAACAGGACCUGUGCGUCUUUCGGGGCGCCGGUCUCCGUUAUUGGUUUCGGGGACUAAAGUAAUGAUUAAUAGGGAUAGUUGGGGGCAUUAGUAUUUAAUAGUCAGAGGUGAAAUUCUCGGAUUUGUUAAAGACUAACUUAUGCGAAAGCAUUUGCCAAGGAUGUUUUCAUUAA
rnacentral:rRNA from 1 species